AAGACCUUGCGCUUUUGGAGCGGCCGAUGUCUGAUUAGCUUGUUGGUAAGGUAAAAGCUUACCAAGGCUUCGAUCAGUAGCUGGUCUGAGAGGACGACCAGCCACACUGGGACUGAGACACGGCCCAGACUCCUACGGGAGGCAGCAGUGGGGAAUUUUGGACAAUGGGCGAAAGCCUGAUCCAGCCAUUCCGCGUGAGUGAAGAAGGCCUUCGGGUUGUAAAGCUCUUUCAGCCGGGAAGAAAAGGUUGCGAUUAAUAAUCGCAAUUUAUGACGGUACCGGAAGAAGAAGCACCGGCUAACUACGUGCCAGCAGCCGCGGUAAUACGUAGGGUGCGAGCGUUAAUCGGAAUUACUGGGCGUAAAGGGUGCGCAGGCGGUUUUGUAAGUCAGAUGUGAAAUCCCCGGGCUUAACCUGGGAACU
rnacentral:rRNA from 1 species